ensembl:snoRNA SNORA70 Small nucleolar RNA SNORA70
UCUCAGCCAAUUAAACGGAACAUGCACUUUCCCCAUGGGGGCCAGUGUGCAAGGCUGUAAACAGUCGCCUCUUUGGUAGUGUGGGCAGAGUGUUGCUUGUAUGAUUUGCCGUAAGGGACCUUGGAGACAGUG